GACGUAGGGUGCGAGCGUUUGUCCGGAAUUAUUGGGCGUAAAGAGCUCGUAGGCGGUGUGUCACGUCGGCCGUGAAAACCUGCAGCUUAACUGUGGGCGUGCGGUCGAUACGGGCAUCACUGGAGUUCGGCAGGGGAGACUGGAAUUCCUGGUGUAGCGGUGAAAUGCGCAGAUAUCAGGAGGAACACCGGUGGCGAAGGCGGGUCUCUGGGCAACACUGACGCUGAGGAGCGAAAGCGUGGGGGAGCGAAACAGG
rnacentral:rRNA from 1 species